GUUGGUGUUUCAUUGUUUUACGUAAGGUCGCUAUUAGUUGGAACUGACUGAACAGCACCUAACAAUAGCAACAGCAGCACAAACUUAAGGUUAAGCCUUUUAAAAACAUCAAGUGCCUGAUAUGGGAGCCCCUCAGGUAGUAGACUCUGUGGGAAGGAGGCCUAAAGUCAGGCCCAUGUCGUGCUUCUUUGGUUCUGGGGCCGGUUUUCAGAGACAGAACCCACAGUUCAGUAUAGAGCCAGGCUUGGAACACAUCAGAAGUCCAGAUGGGAAGAAGCCAAGGUGAUUGUGAGCCCCAGGAAGUAGGUACCAGAGGGUUCGAUUACUGCCAGCGGACCCCCUUCACAGGAGCCGCAGCCCUAGGAGGUCUCCCCAAUACCUCACGACCCCUCCGUGGGACACCCCCGCCAGCUUCCCCCACGACCGGAAAUGCCUCGCGGCGAUCGGAAGCCCAGCGCCGACGAGGCUUCUGGGAGCUGUAGUUCCCCCAGACUCCAGACGCUCACACGCAGUUUCGAACUUGCAGCCGAGUCCUCCUGUCUUCAGCCCCACUCUCCGCCCCGGGCUAAUCCCACAGCACCUAUAGCUGCGGACCAGGUUUGCCCUGGAGCUCUUCAGCUGCGGAUCCCGAGAGGCGGUGCUGUCUGCUCUAAGCUGCGUCCACUUUCUGCAGAGCCAGGGAUGGCGCUGGAGGGGGUGGCUAGCACCGGAUUAAUCAGGAAUGUGCUGUUCCAGCGUCAGUGUCCUUCAGGGACGUGGCUGUGGGCUUCACCCUGGAGGAGUGGCAGCAGUUGGACCCUGCACAGAGGACCCUCUACAGUGAUGUGAUGCUGGAAAACUACAGCCACCUGGUCGCUGUGGGGUGUCAAGUCACCAAACCAGCUGUCAUCUCCAGGUUGGAGCAGGGGGAAGAACCAUGGAUGGAAGUGGAAGAGAUCCUUGGGUGGAGCCUUCCAGAAGUUCAGCAAGUUGAUGACCAAGUUAAUAGACAACAGGAACACCAAGGCAAACUUUUGAAGCAAGUUGCAUUCUUAGACAAGAAAAUAUUGACCAAAGAGAUGCACCAUGAAAGUAAUGCACUUAGAAGAAUAUUCUGUCUGAAGACAAAUCUUGUUCCUUCAAGAUAACAAGCCCUUGAAUGUAACUCAUAUGGAAAGGGUUUGGAAUGUAAUGUAGACUUACUUAGUCCAAACAGGUAUCUUGCAAGAAAGAAAUUUGAGUAUGAUAGACAUGGGAACUUAUUUCUCUUUUCUAAGCUAGAAAAUGCACAUUCCAGAAUGCAUCCUUGUGAAUGUAAUCAAUGUAGAAAAGCUUCAAGCCAAGUUCUUAAUAUAGACCAGGUAACUGAGAGUGGUAAGAAACUCCAUGAAUGUACCAAAUGUGGGAAAGCCUUUUCCCACAGAUCAGAACUCAUUGUACAUCAUAGGGGUCAUAGAGAUGGGAAAUCCUUCACAUGGCGUGAACAUGGGAAUGGCUUAAGGGAGAAGUUUUGCCUCAAUAAACCUCAGAGAAAUCACACAGGAGAGAAACUCAGUGGAAACAAUUGUGGUAAAACAUUUGUUUUACCUGGAAGACAAGCCUGUCUGUACCUGAGACAAUUCAUGCUGGGGAGAAACCUUAUAAGUGUUCUGAAUGUGAGAAAACCUUCUCCCACAACUCACGUCUCAUAGAACAUCAUAGAUCUCAUACAGGAGAGAAACCUUAUGGAUGCAGAGAAUGUGGGAAAUCUUUCUCCCGGAAGUCAUGCCUCAUUAUACAUUAUAGAAUCCACACAAGAGAGAAGCCCUUUUCAUGCAGUGAAUGUGGGAAAGCCUUCUUCCAGAAGUCACACCUCAUUCUACAUCAGAGGACUCAUACAGGAGAGAAGCCCUACGAGUGCAGUGAGUGUGGGAAAUUUUUCUCCCAGAACUCAUGCCUUAUUAUACACCAGAGAACUCAUAUGGGCAAGAGACCCUAUGAAUGCUCUGACUGUGGGAAAACUUUCUCCCAGAAGGCAAAUCUCAUUAGACACCAUAGAAUUCACACUAGGGAUAAACUCUAUGGAUGAAGUGAGAGGGAAAAUCUGUCAAGAGGUCACAAUACAGCUAGAAAUGAAAAAUUAUGGAUAUUCUGGAUGUGUAAGAGCUUUCAGCAGGAAAUCUGAUGCCACCGUAUGCAGAGAUUAAUACCUAGAUGAAAUUCUACCAAUUUAGUUUUUUUUUAGUGAACUAGGAAAAAUACAUUCUCUUAAAACUUGGUGUAUAAUUUCUUAGGGCUGCUGUAACAAAAUACCAGAAAAACAGAAAUGCAUAGUCUUACAAUUUUGGAGGCUACGAGUCCAAAUUCAUGGUGUCAACAGGACCAUGCUGUCUCUGUCUACUCUAAGGAAAAAUUCUUCCUUGUCUCCCAGCUCCUGGUAGCCCCAAGUGUUUCUUGAGGUUCCUUGACUUGUAGAUGCAUCUUUGCAUAGCUGUCUUCCCCCGUGUGUCUCUGUGUACGUUCUCCUCUUUCAUAAGGACAGCACUCAAGUUGGAUUAAGACCCCCUUACUCUGGUGUGACCUCACGUUAACUGGUAUCUUCAAAGACCCUGCUUCUAAACACAGUCACGUGCACAGGUACUAGGGGUUAGCUUUUCAAUGUAUAUGUUUGAGGGACACAGUUCAAUCCACAACAGAAGGAUAAUGAUGCUCUAGAGUGAUGUUAUUCUUACAGAUUAUAUUUAAUUGUAAAGGGUAUCUAUAUUCACUGUGGAUAGUAAGCUUUUUAAUAUGUGACUAAAUUAAAUCAUUAAGACAAUAGAUCUAAUAAGCAUCAGAAAAAUUCCAGAGACAUAUAAGAGUUAUGUUCCUGAGUAUGCUGCAUAAAAACAAUUUUUUAUCUUUGGAACUGUAUUAACUGAACAUAAUUGUGAAUUUGUAGACACACCAUAAUAUAUGGAAUGACAUUUACUAAGAUCUCCUACAGUAAAUUAUAUACCCUUUUGUCUUUGAAAUGCUCAUUAUAACUGGAACAAUAUUAAUUAUUAAACAAGAAGUCCAAAUAUAGUGCCACAUUCCAUUUCUCGCUUUUAUCACAUCCUCUGAUAUCUCUCAAUCAGCUAGCUUCUAAGUUUUGUUUACAUUUAUAUUAAGUACGUAAGGUUAAGACUUCCUGUUAUGAAAAUAUGGUAGACUAAUGUGAAAACUUGUCCACUAUAAACAACUACAGAUAAUGGACGAUAGAAGACUAAUAUUCUUUUAAAUGUAUAAUGCAUCUUACAAGAGAAUAAGAGAAGCGUUCAGGUGCCAACUAUGUAGAGGGAAUGGAAAACCAGAGAUAAAGUUUGUGACUUGACGCUGUAGCUGCCCUCCAAGUUUGGUUUUGUUUACCCAGAAGCUCGGGCAUUAAGGGCUACAGGAGGACAACAAACAGAGCCUUGGGCCCACACAAGGCAGGGAACUGACAUAGAAAUAACUAGUGAAUUCAUGUCUUAGUCAUCUAAUGCAACUAUAAGAGGAAUACCACGAGUGGUUGACUUUAACAAAGAGAAAUUUAUUUUCUCACAGUCUAGUAGGCUAGAAGUCCAAAUUCAGGGUGUCAACUCCAGGCAAAGGCUCGCUCUGUCUCUCUGUUGGCUCUGGAAGAAAGUCUUCAUCAGUCUUCAUCUGGACUGGUAGCUUCUCCACACAGGAAUCCCAGGUCCACAGGAUGUGCUCUGCUUCUAGCAGCCUCUUUUUUGGUGGUAAGAGGUAAGCCCUCUCUGCUCACUUCCCUUUCCUUUUAUCUCUUGUAAGAUAAAAGGUGGUGUGAGCCACACCGCAGGAAAACUCCUUUUAUAUGGGAUCAGGGAUGUGGCCUUAGUAAGGGUGUUACAAUCCUACCCUAGUCCUCUUUAACAUAAAAUUACAAUCACAAAUUGGAGGACAGCCACACAAUACUGGAAAUCAUGGUCUUAUCAAGUUGACACAUCUUUUUGGGGUAUACGAUUCAAUCCAUGACAAUUCAUAAUUUUCAAAAUUCUGCACAUUUAGGGAAAAGGUGAACUAGAAAAAAAUCUCCUUUGCACAGGAAGUUUUUUCUCACUGAGCUGUGGGUAGAGAAAGAGUUCACUCUGAUGAUUCCUAAGCACUGACCUGCAUCUCACAUGAUUUUGAAUUUACCCUAUUCAUGUGUUCCUGGUCUUUGAAACAAUUUACAGGAGCAAAUACAAAAUAUUUUUGGACUGAGACACUGUUAACCCAUAUUUCUCAGGAUUCUGACAUACAAAUCCAGGAUGAGUUCAUAAUCCAAAAUUACAGAAUACUUGAGGAAACAAACCACAGUUAAAGUCAACAGAUAUUUCAGCAAAAUAAGACCCCCAAGUACAUUAGGUAAUAGAAAAAUCUGAAAAUAUAUAAAAUACAUAUCUUUAAAAUUAUUAAAGACAAAGAAUUGAAACCAUGUGAAAGGAAGAUAAAAAGAUAAGUGGUUUGUUUGGAAAAUAGAGUGUCUAGAAAUGAAAAAUAUAGUCAUUAAAAUUUAAAACUCACUUAGCAUUAAAGCAUGCAAUGAACAUGUCAAACAGUACAUUAUACUCAGCUGAAGAGAAACUGGCAAAUAAGGAGAUAAAAAACAAAUAACCCAAACCCGUUGUUGAGUCAAUUCUGACUCAUAGCAAGCCUAUAGGACGGAGUAGAACUGUUUCCAUAGGGUUUCCAAGGAGCGGCUGGUGGAUUCGAACUGCCAACCUUUUUGGUUAAUAGCUGAGCUCUUUACCACUGUGCUACCUGGGCUCCAAACAAGAAGAUAGAGCUAAGCAAAUUACAAAGAAUUCAGUAUAUAGAGAGAAAUGCAAAAUAUAAAAGAAUGGGUGAGAAAUAUAUAGAUUAAAAUGAGUAGAGCAAACAGUUUUAAUACGAGUGCCAAAAACUCAAAAUAGAGAAAAUUGAAGAAAAGCAAAUACUCAAAGAUACAACGGCUCAGAUUUCACAAAGACCUGAGUUAUCGCAUUUACUAGUUGCUGUCAAGUCAAUUUUGACUCAUGGUUACCCUGUGUGUGUCAGAGUAGAACUGUACUCCAUAGUGUUUUCAGUAGCUGUGAUCUUUCGGAAGUAGAUUUCCAGGCCUUUCUUCUGAGGCACCUCUGUGUGGAUUCAAACUGCUAACCUUUUGGUUAGUAGCCAAGCACUUGACCAUUUGCACCAUUCAGGAACUUAACAGGUUUAGGCAGCAUGCUAUAUGCCUAGCUGGAUAAAUAAACGGAUUUACACCUAGGUACGUAUCAGAAUUCUAAAGACAAAGAUCUUAAAAACAACAGAGAAAAGACAGAUAUCCUACACAGAAAUAAACCGAAGCCAACUUUUCACCAACACAAUAGAAGUCAGAAGUCUUUGGAAUAUGAUUGUCAAAGUGAUGGAAUAAAUAUAAUAGGUCGAUCUAGAAUAACUUUAUUAGGGAUAAACAGGAUCACUUCAUAGGGAUUAUAAAACCAGUUUACUACAGAGAUGUAAAAAUUCAAAAGUUGUAUGUACCCAAACACAUGGCCUGAAAAAACAAAAGGCAAAAUUUGAAAGAUUAGAAUUGACAGACAAAUCCGCAGUCAUAGCAAGCUAUUCUUAACACACUUCCCAGUAAUUGAUGGAUAAAGCAGAAAAGAAUAACUUUGAACAAUACAAUUAACAAACUUGGUUAAACAGGGAAUGCACAUUCUUUUUUUUAAUUGUGCUUUAGGUUAAGGUUUACAGCUCAAGUUAGUUUCUCAUACAAAAUUUUAUACACAUAUUCUUAUGUGACCGUAUUUGUUAUCCUUAUAAUGUGACCACACAUUCCUCCUUUCCUCCCUGGAUUUCCCAUGUCCUUUCAAUCAGCUUCUAUCCGCUUCUGCCUUCUCAUCUCACCUACUGACGGUAGCUGCCCAUUUAGUCUCAAGUAUCUACUUGAACUAAGAAGCACACUCUUCACGAGUAUCAUUUCAUGUCUUACAGUCCAGUCUAUUCUUUGUCUGAAGGAUUGGCUUCAGGAAUGGUUUUAGUUCUGGGUUAACAGAGAGUCCGGGGGCCAUGUCUUCUUGGUUUCCUCCAGUCUCAGUCAGACCAUUAAGUCUGGUCUUUUUACUAGAAUUUGAGUUCUGCACCCCACUUUUCUCCUGCUCCAUCAGGGACUCUCUGUUGUGUUCCCUGUCAGGGCAGUCAUUGGUGGUAGCUGGGCACCAUCUAGUUCUUCUAGUCUCAGGCUGAUAGAGUCUCUGGUUUAUGUACCCCCUUUUGU